rnacentral:rRNA from 1 species
GACGAACGCUGGCGGCGUGCUUAACACAUGCAAGUCGAACGGAAAGGCCCUGCUUUUGUGGGGUGCUCGAGUGGCGAACGGGUGAGUAACACGUGAGUAACCUGCCCUUGACUUUGGGAUAACUUCAGGAAACUGGGGCUAAUACCGGAUAGGAGCUCCUGCUGCAUGGUGGGGGUUGGAAAGUUUCGGCGGUUGGGGAUGGACUCGCGGCUUUUCAGCUUGUUGGUGGGGUAGUGGCUUACCAAGGCUUUGACGGGUAGCCGGCCUGGGAGGGUGACCGGCCACAUUGGGACUGAGAUACGGCCCAGACUCCUACGGGAGGCAGCAGUGGGGAAUAUUGCACAAUGGGCGGAAGCCUGAUGCAGCAACGCCGCGUGCGGGAUGACGGCCUUCGGGUUGUAAACCGCUUUCGCCUGUGACGAAGCGUGAGUGACGGUAAUGGGUAAAGAAGCACCGGCUAACUACGUG